CACGUAGGGACCAAGCGUUGUUCGGAAUUACUGGGCGUAAAGGGCGCGUAGGCGGUACGACAAGUCGGGAGUGAAAGCCCCCGGCUCAACUGGGGAGGGUCACGCGAUACUGAUCGACUCGAAGGCAGGAGAGGGAAGUGGAAUUCCCGGUGUAGUGGUGAAAUGCGUAGAUAUCGGGAGGAACACCAGUGGCGAAGGCGACUUCCUGGCCUGUUCUUGACGCUGAGGCGCGAAAGCUAGGGGAGCAAACGGG
rnacentral:rRNA from 1 species